GGGAAGUGGGUGACAAGCACACACAGCUCACAGCUAAACUACUGCAAUCAAGUGGAUCAGAAACAGAAUUGGAGCUAUUUUAUCUGGACCUAAUUAAACAACCUUCAUUACUGGCAGGGAUUUAUUAAUUGUGGAUUGACGAGGAAUAGAGAUUGGUGUAGACAGGUGUUCUCCCACAGCAUCAUCCCCCUUAGUGGACUGAUGACAAGUGAAUGCCUGUAACAGGAGCAGCUCCCUGGCUCCUCCACAUGCAAACAUUUGAAUUUCCUGUUGGCUCAGAGCACAAAAAUGUAGAAAGAGAGGAGAAGGAAAAAUGAUUCUCAGAUGCAUUGGAAAAAUAGAAAUGUUGCACAACAUUCUGCUAAACAAGGACCCUGAAGUACAGACGCUUGGAGGAAUUGAGGCAUAAUAUUUAGAUUUCUUUUUUCAAUAUCAGCUUUGUAAGGUUGGAGUUCUGAGUUCUUAACAACAAAUAAGCCUGGUUUUUCUACAUGUUCGUCAAAUUGUACUUUACCAACUGGCUACAGUAAACCCAACCUGAUGACUCUUCAAACAAUCAUAUGACAUUCAAAUCAGAAAAAUGUGCCUUAUGGAUAACUUCUAUAGUGAUGCCAAUAACCAUGAAUUCCACUCACACCUUUAGGGAUGGAGAAUGUCCUAACUGUGUGACCUUCCUGAUACAUAUAAGAUUCUGAAGUAUUGGUCUUAUGAAAUCAUGAACAUCCUGGGAGUGUCUGCUAUGCUAUGAUCUUCUUUUCUUGAAGGAGACCUACAUAUUGAGUUUUUACUCUUCAUGUAGUUCUUUGCAGACACUCAGAUCUUUGCUGCUUAUUUUGGUCAUCACUGUCUUAUCCGAACUGCUCUCAUGAUGAGUUGCUUUUUUAACGUGGUGAGCUUUUGCAUUCAGAUUUCAGUCCAUUCUUAUCUUUAACCUGCUCUUUAGCUCUCACAAUUAUUUGUUGGAAGCCAACAUUCAUCUUGAAAUUUCAAAACACUGAAAUAAAUAGCACAACCAACAUUUUUUGCUACAUUUUUUUCAAAAGGUCAGCUUUCCAAAGAAGGAAAUGGAUAGUUACGCUAAGUUACAGAAACACAGUGGUGUAAGUAAGAGAUGUUUCUCAUGCUUCUGCUCUGUUUCUUAAGCUUUGGAGUUUAGCCUAUUGUAUGAGAUUUCAACCUAGAGAUGGUGACUGUAAGUGUGUUUGGAGCCCACAGUACUCAAGUUUCAACUGCUCUGAAAAUAAAUUAUGCAUUUGUAUC
rnacentral:lncRNA from 7 species